rnacentral:lncRNA from 1 species
AGUUUUUUUAAAAUUUUGAGCAUUGCCAACAGCCAAAAUAAAAAAUGACCAUUGAGCAACGACUAUUUUUUUUACUUUUAGCCGUUUCGGCCUAUCCCCUUAAUAAAAUUGCCUCUCAACCCCUAAUAAUUGAUAAGUUAUAUUUUUAUCCUUUUAAGAACUAUAAGUAGCUCCCCUCUUCUUUAUUUUUUCUCACAACUUUCUCUCUUCUUCUACUCUAAUUCUCUCUCAAUUCCCUCAUGAUCAUUGAAUUGCUUGCAAGUUCUUAAAUUAUUAAUAUUUCAAGUUGUAACGAUCCGACUGGUCGUUUUGAGUAUUAUAGCUUCAUUCCCCCCAUUUAUUGCUUAUUCUAUGUUCAUUUGUUGUUAUAUGUCUUGGGUUGAGAUUCAUAUUUUUCUUAUUGUUUGAUAUGAUAUGAGGCCUCGACUAAGUUCAUACGAUGUUUAUGAUGGGUUGGUAUGUUUGGAUGGGGUCCCGGAGGCCUCGAGGAUGAUUCAGAUGGAAAUCGGAAUGAGUUUGGACUUGAGGAAUUUCUGAAGUGCACCAAGUUUGGUGCGAUCGCACCUGCGAAGGAUCGCACCUCGGAUUGAGGCAAUUUUUGAAGGAGUUUUCACUAGAUUUCACAAAGUAUGCAACUUUUGGUCGUUUUGAUCUAUUAAUAUUGAAUAUAUUGAAUUUCCCCCCAUAGAUUUGGUAUUUUUGAGGUGAAAAUUUAGGAUUUUUUUACCCAUGUAUUGGAGAGUAAUAAUUGGAGAUUUGAGUGACGAUUUGAUGUCAGAAUUGAGUAAUUUUGAUAUGACUGGACUCGUUAUUGAAUGGGUGUUCAUAUUUUGUAACUUUUGUUGGAUUCCGAGACAUGGGCUAAGGGUUGACUUUUUAGUUGACUUUUUAACUUUUGUUAAAGAACUUAGCUUUAUCAUAUGAAAUUGAUUUCUAUAGCUUUUGUUGAUUGUAUCGAGUUGUUUGUGGCUAGAUUUGAGUCGUUCGGAUGUCGAUUUGCGAGGCAAGGGCAUGUUGGAAUAGAGAUUUAUACGAGUUGAGGUAAGUUACACUUCCAAACUUGGUUCUGAGGGUAUGAAUCCCUGAAAUAUGUGUUAUGUGGUCGGUAUUGAGGUGACGCACAUACUAGGUGACGGGCGUGUGUGCGUGCACUGUAGUUAUUGUAACUCGGUUGAUUUCGUAGAACUUUUUAGUCAUCUAAUCUUGUUAUUAUUCAUGUAAUUUCCAUGUGUUAGAGAAAUCAAGCUGUGAUUCAUGUUAGAAAUCAUAUUUAGACUAUAUGUUGGUACUGUUGGACCUACAGAGGUCACUUUGUUGUUGAAUUAUUUACUAAUUUGCAAUCAUGCACUCAGUCACAUCUAUCCUAUAUAUCAUAUCUCAAUCUCUAUUGUCAUUAUUGUUGCACCAUAUUAUCAUUGUUUGGGCUGAUUGUUAUGAGAUUUUGUGAGCCCAAGAGACUAGAGAGAUUGAUGACUGAGUGAGACCGAGGGCCUGAUUGUGAGUGAUAUUUAUAGGAUCGGGCUGCAUGCCGCAACAUGCUUUUUUGAUUCAAACCAUGAUUGGCUUAUAUAUUAGCUCUUGGGUAGGAUCCGCCCUUCCGGAGUCUGACAAACCAGCAGUAAGCGCAAGUACCUACUAAGUGCGAGUACCAAGCGAUUGAGAGUACUGAGUGACUAAGAGUUCUGAGUGAGUGGGAGGACUGAGUGACUGGGAAGACUGAGUGAUUGAGCAUGCUGAGUGAGAUUAAAUACUCCGAGAGUAUGCAUAUGAUUUUAUCACUGUGUUGCAUUACAAUUGGCAUGCAUAAUUAACAUGCAGAUAUAUUGAUGUAUCAUUCCUCAUAUCAAUCACACUUGGCAAUAUUUUAUCCGUGUUGAACUUAUAUUGUUAAACUUGAAAGCUUGUCUAUAUUUUUGUACAUUUAAAAUCUGUAUUUGGACUGUACCUGUUUGAGCUCGUCACUGCUUUCAGUCUAAGGUUAGUCUUGUUACUUAUUGAGUACAUUGUGUUGGUUGUACAUAUACUAUACUCUUCACUUCGUGUGCAGAUUCAAGUACUUCUGGGCACAGUGGUUGAUAGCUUUGGAGUUUUAUCUAUUUGGAGACUAUUGAGGUAGCUGCCUUGGCAUCCGCAGACCUUAACUCUCCUUCUUUUCAAUUCAUUUGUACUAUUCUAUAUUUCUAGACAGUUGUUUUAACAGUUAGAUUGUAUUGUGAGAUAAAUGCUCAUGUACUUAGUGACAACGAAUUUUGGGAGAUUUUGUAUUGAGUCGCGAUAUUUUCUUACAAGUUAUUUAUGAGAUUUUCACUAUUUAAG